rnacentral:rRNA from 1 species
GGUUAAGCGACUAAGCGUACACGGUGGAUGCCCUGGCAGUCAGAGGCGAUGAAGGACGUGCUAAUCUGCGAUAAGCGUCGGUAAGGUGAUAUGAACCGUUAUAACCGGCGAUUUCCGAAUGGGGAAACCCAGUGUGAUUCGUCACACUAUCAUUAACUGAAUCCAUAGGUUAAUGAGGCGAACCGGGGGAACUGAAACAUCUAAGUACCCCGAGGAAAAGAAAUCAACCGAGAUUCCCCCAGUAGCGGCGAGCGAACGGGGAGCAGCCCAGAGCCUGAAUCAGUGUGUGUGUUAGUGGAAGCGUCUGGAAAGGCGCGCGAUACAGGGUGACAGCCCCGUACACAAAAAUGCACAUAUUGUGAGCUCGAUGAGUAGGGCGGGACACGUGGUAUCCUGUCUGAAUAUGGGGGGCCCAUCCUCCAAGGCUAAAUACUCCUGACUGACCGAUAGUGAACCAGUACCGUGAGGGAAAGGCGAAAAGAACCCCGGCGAGGGGAGUGAAAAAGAACCUGAAACCGUGUACGUACAAGCAGUGGGAGCACGCUUAGGCGUGUGACUGCGUACCUUUUGUAUAAUGGGUCAGCGACUUAUAUUCUGUAGCAAGGUUAACCGAAUAGGGGAGCCGAAGGGAAACCGAGUCUUAACUGG